rnacentral:tRNA from 1 species
GCCAGGGUGGUGGAGCGGCUACGCAAUCGCAUGCAGAGCGAUUUAAUUCCGGUUCGAGUCCGGAUUCUGGCA